AGAAGAGCAGCUUCAGGGUUAGUUCCACAGUGCCUUAGAAGAGUGAGCUGCUGUAAGAUGGGAAAGAGGGGUUCAAAGCAUUAGAAGUGGAAGUGAGUGAUAGGGAAAGUUUCUCUCCUGGAAAUGAGGGGCUGCUUGGCUGGAUGUCCCCCAGUACUAUCUGCAGGCAUCCAGUGUAACUGUUGUGCAAGUUGUUAGCCUGACUGUGCUGCAGCUGCUCUGUUUGGGGGAUGAUGUGUUCACAGAACAACACAUAAAUUCACGCCAGUGAAAGUCCUGGGAAGCAGAAGUGGAGUGAUACCUGCCCACCUAUUUUCUGGACUCACAGAUCAGGUAGGGGCCCUGUCUGUGAAGAGGCCAGUGAGUUCCACUAGGUAUUGUGGCAGCACACUUCAGCUGCUUCAUCCAUGGAAUGAAGGCUCUGGGAUGGAGACAGCAUUGUCG